rnacentral:misc_RNA from 1 species
UGCUGGUCCCAACACACAUCAACACAAUCGUGGUAGAAUCAAUAAGCCUAUUUGGGUCCCCCAAUUAGUGCACAAAGUAGAGCGAAGAAUUAUUCAUUGUGACAAUCAAUUUAAGAACUUUGAUACUAUAAAACUAUCAUACACUUAAAACAGCAAUACAGUACAACAACUUAGAAGCCAAAGAAACAUAAAAGAGAGGAUAACAGAACAGAGGUAAAGAUUCAGGAGUCACCGCCAGCCGUGAACAGCUCUAGAGUACCUUUCCUUGAGCCACCUAAAACUCUUCUUGAAAGACCCUUUAACUUUCCCUUCUACAGUGUAAAGCUUAUAGCUAGCGACUCUCUUCUUUCGUU